UGAUCAUUAAGAGAUGCAGAGGGUCUAGCAAUAUAAAACAUGGAGUAAUACUUCCCAGAAUACUGUCCCAGCCUCCUGAAGCUUUUGGAUGGAGACUUGAAAUUCUCCCUUGAGUCUGUGAAGAAGCUGAAGGAGCUUAUGGAUGAGAACAGACACAUUAACCCUCGCUUUGUGCUUUCAAUGGCUAGCUACUCUCCAUGUGAUGAAAAAGAUCUCCCUGAGGAAUUCCAAUCUGUGUGCAAAAGAGAAGAUGCAUCCAUGAUUUUUGAGAGGCUGACAGAUGAGAGUGUCCAUGCUGCCUUUCUAUCCCUCCUAUGAUUGAUGGCCAGCACUGGCUGUGAGCACCCUGCAGUACAGUUCCUGAUGUGCUGAGCUUAGCUGUAGCCUGUACGGAUCAGGCUGCUGUAACCAGGAAAAAGCUUCCUCCAGGUGGCUGCAUGCUAACUUGCACGAUUUAAGUGGGAGAGCCCGCUCUAUCCUCUGGCUUACAGGAAAAUCAGGGUUAUAUCACUCAGUUGUAGCAAACUACAAAUUCCGAACGGGUCUAAUUGCUCUCUCUAAUCAGUGUAGAAGGUGUUCUUCCAGGUAGCCUAAAAGAGGUGUGAGAUCUAAAUGAGGUGGA